rnacentral:rRNA from 1 species
GUACCGCACGAACGUUAUUCGGGAAUCACUGGGGCUUAAAGGGUGCGUAGGCGGCUUGGAAGGUGGGGUGUGAAAUCCCUCGGCUUAACCGAGGGAACUGCGCUCCAAACCGCCAGGCUUGAGGGAGGCAGGGGUGAGCGGAACUGAUGGUGGAGCGGUGAAAUGCGUUGAUAUCAUCAGGAACACCAGUGGCGAAGGCGGCUCACUGGGCCUCUUCUGACGCUGAGGCACGAAAGCUAGGGUAGCGAACGGGAUUAGAUACCCCGGUAGUCCUAGCUGUAAACGAUGAGCACUGGAUCGAGGGGGCCUCCACACCCUCUCGGUCGUAGCGAAAGUGUUAAGUGCUCCGCCUGGGGAGUAUGGUCGCAAAGGCUGA